rnacentral:rRNA from 1 species
CAGUCGCCGCGGUAAUACGUAGGUGGCAAGCGUUGUCCGGAAUUAUUGGGCGUAAAGGGCUCGCAGGCGGUUUCUUAAGUCUGAUGUUAAAGCCCCCGGCUCAACCGGGGAGGGUCAUUGGAAACUGGGAAACUUGAGUGCAGAAGAGGAGAGUGGAAUUCCACGUGUAGCGGUGAAAUGCGUAGAGAUGUGGAGGGACACCAGUGGCGAAGGCGACUCUCUGGUCUGUAACUGACGCUGAGGAGCGAAAGCGUGGGGAGCGAAUAGGAUUAGAUACCCCGGUAGUCCCUGUCUCUUAUAA